rnacentral:miRNA from 1 species
CAGGAUGCCCAGUAAAAUUUGAGCUUCAGAUAAAGAACGAAUAAUAUUUAAGUAUAAGUAUGUCCCAUGCAAUAUUUGGGACAUGCUUAUACUAAAGAAUUAUUCCAUUUUUUAUCUGAAAUUCAAAUCUAAUGAGAAUCCUGUA